GACGAACCGUGCGAACGUUAUCCGGAAUCACUGGGCUUAAAGGGCGCGUAGGCGGGUCUGAAAGUCAGGGGUGAAAUCCCACGGCUCAACCGUGGAAGUGCCUCUGAUACUUCAGGUCUCGAGGGAGGUAGGGGCGUGCGGAACUUCCGGUGGAGCGGUGAAAUGCGUAGAUAUCGGAAGGAACGUCGGUGGCGAAAGCGGCGCGCUGGACCUCUUCUGACGCUGAGGCGCGAAAGCCAGGGGAGCGAACGGG
rnacentral:rRNA from 1 species